rnacentral:rRNA from 1 species
UGGGGAAUCUUCCGCAAUGGACGAAAGUCUGACGGAGCAACGCCGCGUGAGUGAUGACGGCCUUCGGGUUGUAAAGCUCUGUUAAUCGGGACGAAAGGUCUUCUUGCGAAUAGUUAGAAGAAUUGACGGUACCGGAAUAGAAAGCCACGGCUAACUACGUGCCAGCAGCUGCGGUAAUACGUAGGUGGCAAGCGUUGUCCGGAAUUAUUGGGCGUAAAGCGCGCGCAGGCGGAUCAGUCAGUCUGUCUUAAAAGUUCGGGGCUUAACCCCGUGAUGGGAUGGAAACUGCUGAUCUAGAGUAUCGGAGAGGAAAGUGGAAUUCCUAGUGUAGCGGUGAAAUGCGUAGAUAUUAGGAAGAACACCAGUGGCGAAGGCGACUUUCUGGACGAAAACUGACGCUGAGGCGCGAAAGCCAGGGGAGCGAACGGGAUUAGAUACCCCGGUAGUCCUGGCCGUAAACGAUGGGUACUAGGUGUAGGAGGUAUCGACCCCUUCUGUGCCGGAGUUAACGCAAUAAGUACCCCGCCUGGGGAGUACGACCGCAAGGUUG